rnacentral:rRNA from 1 species
AGAGUUUGAUCAUGGCUCAGAUUGAACGCUGGCGGCAUGCCUUACACAUGCAAGUCGAACGGCAGCACGGGAGCAAUCCUGGUGGCGAGUGGCGAACGGGUGAGUAAUAUAUCGGAACGUGCCCAAUCGUGGGGGAUAACGCAGCGAAAGCUGUGCUAAUACCGCAUACGAUCUACGGAUGAAAGCGGGGGACUCGCAAGAGCCUCGCGCGAAUGGAGCGGCCGAUAUCAGAUUAGCUAGUUGGCGGGGUAAAAGCCCACCAAGGCGACGAUCUGUAGCUGGUCUGAGAGGACGACCAGCCACACUGGAACUGAGACACGGUCCAGACUCCUACGGGAGGCAGCAGUGGGGAAUUUUGGACAAUGGGCGCAAGCCUGAUCCAGCAAUGCCGCGUGCAGGAUGAAGGCCUUCGGGUUGUAAACUGCUUUUGUACGGAACGAAACGGCUCUUUCUAAUAAAGAGGGCUAAUGACGGUACCGUAAGAAUAAGCACCGGCUAACUACGUGCCAGCAGCCGCGGUAAUACGUAGGAUCCGAGCGUUGUCCGGAAUUACUGGGUGUAAAGGGCGUGUAGGUGGGUUCCUAAGUCGGUGGUGAAAUCCCGCAGCUUAACUGCGGAAUUGCCUUCGAUACUGGGGAUCUUGAGUGCGGCAGAGGGAGAUGGAAUUCAUGGUGUAGCGGUGAAAUGUGUAGAUAUCAUGAAGAACACCGGUAGCGAAGGC